rnacentral:misc_RNA from 1 species
GAUGAAGAACGUAGCGAAAUGCGAUAAGUAAUGCGAAUUGCAGAAUCCGUGAGUCAUCGAAUCUUUGAACGCACAUUGCGCCCUCUGGUAUUCCGGAGGGCAUGCCUGUUCGAGCGUCAUUAUCACCCCUCAAGCCCGGCUUGUUGUUGGAUGCAGCGCUUAUCCCGCUCCUCCCAAAGAUAAUGACGGCGUCUGCGACGACUCCUGUACACUGAGCUUUCGGGCACGUACACGGUUAGAAGUCCAGACCCGGUCGCCGUCCCCCCCGCGGGGACACCCAUUACCACAAGGUUGACCUCGGAUCAGGUAGGAAUACCCGCUGAACUUAAGCAUAUCAAUAAGCGGAGGA